rnacentral:lncRNA from 1 species
UUCAACCUGUAAAAUAUUCUUCAGUUUUUCUUGGAAUCUUAGAUUCUUCGAACAUUAACGACACAAACUGAACUCUUCACGACUUCGGCUCAAAUUACGAAAUAUGCCAACAUAAAAUUCGUAAUACACAUGAUACACACGAAGCAUCAACAAAAAUUCCGCUUAAAGAAGUUUACUAGAAAUCCAAUAACCGCAGGUAUCAGAAUAGAAUAAUAAAUAUUUACUAUAGCAAAACUAUAAAUAUACAAUCAAGUAGUUCAACUAUACACGCACUGAUAAGUAGUU